GCGUGCUUAACACAUGCAAGUCGAACGGUGAAAGAGAAGCUUGCUUCUCUGGAUCAGUGGCGAACGGGUGAGUAACACGUGAGUAACCUGCCCUUGACUCUGGGAUAAGCGUUGGAAACGACGUCUAAUACCGGAUACGAACCGUGGAGGCAUCUCCUGCGGUUGGAAAGAAUUUUGGUCAAGGAUGGACUCGCGGCCUAUCAGGUAGUUGGUGAGGUAACGGCUCACCAAGCCGACGACGGGUAGCCGGCCUGAGAGGGUGACCGGCCACACUGGGACUGAGACACGGCCCAGACUCCUACGGGAGGCAGCAGUGGGGAAUAUUGCACAAUGGGCGAAAGCCUGAUGCAGCAACGCCGCGUGAGGGACGACGGCCUUCGGGUUGUAAACCUCUUUUAGCAGGGAAGAAGCGAAAGUGACGGUACCUGCAGAAAAAGCACCGGCUAACUACGUGCCAGCAGCCGCGGUAAUACGUAGGGCGCAAGCGUUGUCCGGAAUUAUUGGGCGUAAAGAGCUCGUAGGCGGUUUGUCGCGUCUGCUGUGAAAACGCGAGGCUCAACCUCGCGCCUGCAGUGGGUACGGGCAGACUAGAGUGCGGUAGGGGAGAUUGGAAUUCCUGGUGUAGCGGUGGAAUGCGCAGAUAUCAGGAGGAACACCGAUGGCGAAGGCAGAUCUCUGGGCCGUAACUGACGCUGAGGAGCGAAAGCAUGGGGAGCGAACAGGAUUAGAUACCCUGGUAGUCCAUGCCGUAAACGUUGGGAACUAGAUGUGGGGACCAUUCCACGGUCUCCGUGUCGCAGCUAACGCAUUAAGUUCCCCGCCUGGGGAGUACGGCCGCAAGGCUAAAACUCAAAGGAAUUGACG
rnacentral:rRNA from 1 species